rnacentral:siRNA from 1 species
UUCGGAGAGGACGGUGCGCCA